UCCCCAAAUGAUGAUUUUGGAUUGAAAUAUCUCACGACGAUCGUCUGAGGCACGCUUUGUGUCAUCUUUGAUGUAUUUACGAUCCUUUUUUUCUGAUGGUU